AGGAGCUGUUUUAACUGCCUGGGAGAGUUCGGGAGAAUCUGGGAAAUCAUGAUUCUCCCACUCCUAGAGCCAAGCGAGAUUUCAGAGCCCCACUCUUUUCCUUACAUGAACCUGACCUUAUCAGAGAGGACUUGGUGCAGUGGCUGGUGCCUGUAAUCCCAGCACUUCGGAAAGCCAAGGCAGGCGGAUCACUUGAGCCCAGAAGUUUGAGACCAGCCUGGCCAAUGUGGUGAAACCCCACCUUUACCAAAAAAUACAAAAAAUUAGCCAGGCAUGGUGGCAUGCACCUGUAAUCUCAGCUACUCAGGAGGCUGAGGCAGGAGAAUCACUUGAACCAGGGAGGCAGAGGCUGCAGUGAGCCGAGAUUGCACCUCUGCACUCCAGCCUGGGUGACAGAGCGAGAUUCCG
rnacentral:lncRNA from 1 species